rnacentral:rRNA from 1 species
UACGUAGGUGGCAAGCGUUGUCCGGAUUUAUUGGGUUUAAAGGGCGCGUAGGCGGUUCCAUAAGUCAGUGGUGAAAUACGGCAGCUCAACUGUCGAGGUGCCAUUGAUACUGCGGAACUUGAGUACUGAUGAGGUAGGCGGAAUUGACGGUGUAGCGGUGAAAUGCUUAGAUAUCGUCAAGAACACCGAUAGCGAAGGCAGCUUACCAAGCAGUAACUGACGCUGAGGCACGAAAGUGCGGGGAUCAAACAGG